UAUUUCCAGGAUUUUUUCCUUUCCUACUUGGCCAAGUCACCAGGGACUGGGGCAGCUGCCUACUCCGUGAAGCUCCUCAGCUCUUUGAAAAUCAAGACCCGAUUCUCUGGGACAUAAGCAGGGUCCCUACUAAGCUAAUAUUUUCAGAAUGCAGAGACCAAGAGCCUGUCAGCCCCUACCUGAAACCUCUCUCCCAGAGCAAGGAUUGAGGAAACUGGAGGGGAGAAGGUGGGGAGGAGCCAGAGACUCAGUCCAGCACAGGAGAGAAACUGAGGCACAAGAGAAAAAAUGAGCCUCUGCCCCUCCCUCUCUUUGUUAUUGCUAAAGAGAACGGAGGAAGCUUUUUUUUGUUUCUUUCCUCUGGAUUUCUCUGCUUUCCUUUUCGGAUUCCCAGAGUAAAGGAACCUCUCAAAACCUCAGACCAAGGAUGCGCAUCGUCGCGCUUUCCUUCCAGACCCAGACGCCUGCUUCUGAGGGAGGUGGACGCGGAGAAAGACGCAAGCAAGUUCCCCCAAGCGGGGUCCGGAGCCUCCGUGCGGGAGGCUGUGCCCCUUGACACAAGGCACCGUCCGAUUUCAUUUCAAUAAUGCUGGCAAUUUUCUUCCCACUGGGUUGACUGGAGGCCUCGCUGCCCUAUGUGUGGGUCCCUGUGCUCGACUUUUUGCUCAAAGGGAUCCGAACAAAUAAAACAUCCAACAAGUCAUAA